AUUGAACGCUAGCGGGAUGCUUUACACAUGCAAGUCGAACGGCAGCGCGGACUUCGGUCUGGCGGCGAGUGGCGAACGGGUGAGUAAUGUAUCGGAACGUGCCCAGUAGCGGGGGAUAACUACGCGAAAGCGUAGCUAAUACCGCAUACGCCCUACGGGGGAAAGCAGGGGAUCGUAAGACCUUGCACUAUUGGAGCGGCCGAUGUCGGGUUAGCUAGUUGGUGAGGUAACGACUCACCAAGGCGACGAUCCGUAGCUGGUUUGAGAGGACGACCGGCCACACUGGGACUGAGACACGGACCAGACUACUACGGGAGGCAGCAGUGGGGAAUGUUGGACAAUGGGGGCAACCCUGAUCCAGCCAUCCCGCGUGUGCGAUGAAGGCCUUCGGGUUGUAAAGCACUUUUGGCAGGAAAGAAACGUCGCGGGCUAAUACCCCGUGGAACUGACGGUACCUGCAGAAUAAGCACCGGCUAACUACGUG
rnacentral:rRNA from 1 species